CUCAUCUACCAGCAGAAUGUGAUCAACACUACUCUGACAAUUUACACAAACAAGAAGUGACCACUUUAAAGACAGAAUGCCAAGAACAAUACAAUAAAUGCUAAAGAGAAAGAGUGACAAUAGUGAGCAACUACAGAUAAUGCAGUCAUGGAACCAGAAAAAGAGAUUCACAGCCUUACAUCAGGGGAAGGAUUUUGGCAGGUGUCUGAAAAUGUGUCUCGAAACAUCUCUGUAGACAAGACUGAGAAAGUUCCUUAAGUAUUAUAGACGUGAUCCUAAGGAAGACAGAAGCAGCCCAAGGCCAACUUAGAAUCAUAAGAAAAUCACGGGCACCGCAUCCACGUUUUGAAAAUCUGUUCCUUACCAAGCACACUGCUAAGCCGCCUAUCCACCUUACCACUAUAUGGUAGUUAAAAGCACAGACUUAAAAACCAGAAGGACUGGCGUCUCACUCUACAUCUACCACUUACUAGCUGUGUUUCCUUAGGCAAAUUAUCUGACCCCCAUGCAGCUCAGGCACUUGGUAGGUACUGUCUAUGUUUUGGCUUUUAUUAUUAACUCAUUUAAUGUUUCUAAAAAUCACCCAUUGAAACCUAUUCUUU